ensembl:snRNA LOC120096429 U2 spliceosomal RNA
AUCGCUUCUCGGCCUUUUGGCUAAGAUCAAGUGUAGGAAAACAAUUAACAAAAUUCAGUUUCUUUCUGAUAGAGUGUAAUGUAUCUAGGCUAGCUUUCAACUUGCUAGAGAAUGAUUCUGAACACCUAAUCUUGCCGCCAUCU